ACCUCGGUGGUCUAGUGGUAGCACGCGUCCCUGGUUUGGAUGAAACGCGGGUUUGACUCUCAUCUGAGGUC